CGCCGUGACCCUGAAGAUUCCUCUCUCACCUCAGCCGUGCCUCCACCGUCUCUUCCUCCAUCUUCCACACUCGAGUACCAGCCUCACCACCGUCACCACCCGCCUCCACCAGGUCCUCAUCUCCCUCGCAGCCCUACUUCCUCUUCUCCACCUCCUAUCUCCUCCUCUUACAUGCUCCUCGCUCUCUCCGGCACCAAUAAACCCGGCGGAAACAGCUUACCGUUCUCAGAUCUCAACUUCGCCGCCAACAACCUCUCCACUCACCACCUUACCCCAGGCUCUCGGAAGCGUUUCAGGACGAAGUUCAGCCAAGCUCAGAAAGAGAAAAUGCACGAGUUCGCCGACCGUAUCGGGUGGAAGUUUCAGAAGCGCGACGAGGACGACGUGCGCGACUUCUGCCGGGAGGUUGGAGUCGAUAAAGGCGUACUCAAGGUGUGGAUGCACAAUAACAAAAACACCUUCAACAACCGCCGCGACCAGCCAGUCGCUGGCGGAACCACCGUACAUUGCGUUGACAACGGCGUCGCAGUUAACAACGCCGAAGAUGAUGGCGUUCACGGUGGAAACGGUUUAGAGCACAACCUACACGGCGAUGGAGCUGAAGGCGUCUGCGGUUGCCACCGUAACUUCCACCGCCGCGACCCCGAUGACUCCUCCCUCGCUUCCGCCGUGCCUCCACCGUCUCUCCCUCCAUCCUCCACCACCGCUGCACUCGAGUACCAGCCUCACCACCGUCACCACCCGCCUCCACCAGGUCCUCAUCUCCCUCGCAGCCCUACUUCCUCUUCUCCACCUCCUAUCUCCUCCUCUUACAUGCUCCUCGCUCUCUCCGGCACCAAUAAACCCGGCGGAAACAGCUUACCGUUCUCAGAUCUCAACUUCGCCGCCAACAACCUCUCCACUCACCACCUUACCCCAGGCUCUCGGAAGCGUUUCAGGACGAAGUUCAGCCAAGCUCAGAAAGAGAAAAUGCACGAGUUCGCCGACCGUAUCGGGUGGAAGUUUCAGAAGCGCGACGAGGACGACGUGCGCGACUUCUGCCGGGAGGUUGGAGUCGAUAAAGGCGUACUCAAGGUGUGGAUGCACAAUAACAAAAACAC
rnacentral:lncRNA from 1 species